GAUGAAGAACGCAGCAAAAUGCGAUAAGUAAUGUGAAUUGCAGAAUUCAGUGAAUCAUCGAAUCUUUGAACGCACAUUGCGCCCGCCAGUAUUCUGGCGGGCAUGCCUGUUCGAGCGUCAUUUCAACCCUCAAGCACAGCUUGGUGUUGGGACUCGCGUUAAUUCGCGUUCCUCAAAUUGAUUGGCGGUCACGUCGAGCUUCCAUAGCGUAGUAGUAAAACCCUCGUUACUGGUAAUCGUCGCGGCCACGCCGUUAAACCCCAACUUCUGAAUGUUGACCUCGGAUCAGGUAGGACUACCCGCUGAACUUAAGCAUAUCAAUAAGCGGAGGA
rnacentral:misc_RNA from 1 species